rnacentral:rRNA from 1 species
AGGGGGAUAACUACUGGAAACGGUAGCUAAUACCGCAUGACCUCGCAAGAGCAAAGUGGGGGACCUUCGGGCCUCACGCCAUCGGAUGUGCCCAGAUGGGAUUAGCUAGUAGGUGAGGUAAUGGCUCACCUAGGCGACGAUCCCUAGCUGGUCUGAGAGGAUGACCAGCCACACUGGAACUGAGACACGGUCCAGACUCCUACGGGAGGCAGCAGUGGGGAAUAUUGCACAAUGGGCGCAAGCCUGAUGCAGCCAUGCCGCGUGUGUGAAGAAGGCCUUAGGGUUGUAAAGCACUUUCAGCGAGGAGGAAGGGUUCAGUGUUAAUAGCACUGAGAUUGACGUUACUCGCAGAAGAAGCACCGGCUAACUCCGUGCCAGCAGCCGCGGUAAUACGGAGGGUGCAAGCGUUAAUCGGAAUUACUGGGCGUAAAGCGCACGCAGGCGGUUUGUUAAGUCAGAUGUGAAAUCCCCGAGCUUAACUUGGGAACUGCAUUUGAAACUGGCAAGCUAGAGUCUUGUAGAGGGGGGUAGAAUUCCAGGUGUAGCGGUGAAAUGCGUA